AGUAAAGUCAGCUAAUUAAGCUUUCGGGCCCAUACCCCGAAAAUCUUGGUAUCCCAAUCCUUCCUGUACUA
rnacentral:tRNA from 2 species